AGGGUAAAUUGCUCUGUGAUCCGGGUGGAGUACAAUGGAAGAGCCUUCCCAGCCUUUGUGUGUGAGUUUCCCUGCAAGGAGAUAAGAGCCCAUGGUGAGCUGAGAUAUACCCACAUCCCUUCCUGGCAGACAGGGAUAAGAUGACAUCAAUGAAUUUUACAGAGUUUAGAAUUCUGUUAUCUACCCUUCAACAUCACUAUGUGUCCUAUAUUAGCAAUCUCUAUUAGGGAAUGCACAUCAUGAUGCUAUCUUUUUUUUAGCCCACAAUGAUAAUAAAACAAAAAAAUCCAGACCACCAAGCUGUGUGCCAAGAGCACAUCAUUACUUAUCUUUUCUCUUUUUAGUGUAAGACUGAGAUUCCUUCGUUGCCUGAAGGUUUUUCUGUGGGUUUGUUGUUUUUUUUUUUUUUGUGUGUGUGUGUGUGUGUGGUUUUUUUGUUUUGUUUUGUUUUGUUUUGCAGCUUAUCUAACUUCAAAUGUGCUUUGUAAUAGAAACCUGUGGUUUCACAAUAAUGACUCUUUCACAUCUUCUUAUCGCUUUUGGGAAUUAAAUCUGAAAAGCAUUGAUAUAUUUGAAUGACAGCUGUGGGUCUUGUUCCACAGAGAGGCAUUCUUAGCUGGGGCAUCAGUAGGUUUGAAUGGCACAGGAAGGACAGUGGAGCUGCUCCGUGCUGUAAGAUGCCCUUAGGGAACAAGAAAGUAGGAAAUGGCACAACACAUUUAUCUAAGGGUAAAUCAAUUGAUAGUAGACUGUAUGAAGGAGAAGCAACAAAGUUUGAUACAAAAUGUUGUGAAGGGAUGAGAAAUCUUUUAAGUUGUUGUCCUUUGUAUUCUGAGCAUCUUAUUGUAUUCCAGACAAUAGAGAUUAUUAUUCCGCAUUUGUAAACAGGAAAAGCAAGCAGAUACAUUUUAUCUGUUCAAGUUUGCAUAACUAAUGGCGAAGGCAGAGGAAGAACCCAAUAAAGAAGAAUUUGUAGCAAAG
rnacentral:lncRNA from 7 species